CCCUUAGAUGUUCUGGGCCGCACGCGCGCUACACUGAUGCAUUCAACGAGUCUAAAACCUGGUCUGAGAGGGCUGGGUAAUCUUUUGAAAGUGCAUCGUGAUUGGGAUAGAUGAUUGCAAUUCUUCAUCUUCAACGAGGAAUGCCUAGUAAACGCAAGUCAUCAGCUUGCAUUGAUUACGUCCCUGCCCUUUGUACACACCGCCCGUCGCGCCUACCGAUUGAACGAUCCGAUGAAAACUGUGGAUUGAGAGUCUGAGUGGGUUCGCCUACCUCAACUUUCGAGAAGCGGUUUAAAUCUUAUCGUUUAGAGGAAGGAGAAGUCGUAACA
rnacentral:rRNA from 1 species